rnacentral:rRNA from 1 species
GACGAACGCUGGCGACGCGCUUAACACAUGCAAGUCGAACGGAAAGGCCUGCUUUCCCUUGUGGAUUGCGGGUACUCGAGUGGCGAACGGGUGAGUAACACGUGAGUGAUCUGCCCCCAACUUGGGUAUAAGCCUGGGAAGCUGGGUCUAAUUCCCGAUAGGACUGCAGGGUGGUGCCUGUGGUGGAAAACGAUUUUCUAGUGGUUGGGGAUGAGCUCGCGGCCUAUCAGCUUGUUGGUGGGGUAAUGGCCUACCAAGGCGGCGACGGGUAGCCGGCCUGAGAGGGUGGACGGCCACAUUGGGACUGAGAUACGGCCCAGACUCCUACGGGAGGCAGCAGUGGGGAAUAUUGCACAAUGGGCGGAAGCCUGAUGCAGCGACGCCGCGUGGGGGAUGACGGCCUUCGGGUUGUAAACUCCUUUCGACCGCGAGGAAGCCACCUGGUUGGAAGGGUGGUGACGGUAGUGGUAGAAGAAGCACCGGCUAACUACGUG